rnacentral:SRP_RNA from 1 species
GCUCACCGAAUAGGUGCAUAGGUGAAAGGUAUACACAUGGGAGGCUGGGGUGGGAGGAUCACUUGAGCCCGGGAGUCCUGGGUUGUGGUGCACUGUGCCAAUCCAGCGUCUGCACUAAAUUCAGCAUCAAUAUGAUGACCUCUCAGGAGCAAGGGACCACCAGGUUGCCUAAGGAGGGGUGAAUCAACCCAGGUCACAAAUGGAACAGGUCAAAACUCCUGUGCUAAUCCAUAGUGGGAUCACACCAGUAAAUAGCCACUGCACCCCAGCCUGGGCAACACAGACAGGACCCAUCUCU